rnacentral:rRNA from 1 species
AUGUUGUUGCUAGGAGACCUUAACUAUGGCUCAUCGAUCAUUUCAUUUCUUGUUGAGGUCGAUCCCCGCCUUCUUGGCGACGGCGUCGAGGCCGUGCUUCUCGAUGGUCUUGAGGGCCUUGGUGGAGAGCCUGAGCUUGACGUAGCGCUUGCCGGCCUCCCACCACAGCUUCUUGUACUGCAGGUUCACAAACUGCUGCUUCUUGGUCUUGUGGGAGACCGCGGCCGUGGAGGUGAGGCCGAGGCUGAGGCUGAGGCCGGCGAGCUGCGAGGUGGCGAACCCGACCGAGGUGGCGUAGGAGCUAGCGCUGGACCGGAGGAGCGGAGCCCUGGCGGCGGCGGGCAUGGAGACGGAGUAGGAGCAGAGCAUGGACGCCAUGGAUGGAUGCAGCGCUGA